AAUUUGAAAUGACUCAUUAAAAUAGAGGAGGCAGAGAAAAAUGUCCUCCAAUGCCAAAAAAACACCACUGUAGCAGCUGAGCAGUCUGAGAUAACUGUUCUGAUAAGUACACUACGGAGGAGGCAAAUGUUGCCUCAGAGGGAAAUGGAGAGGAUGCUGCAGCUUUUAAAGAAGCCGAGUGGGAGAUUAGAUGGGUGGACAGCACUUCCAUGUCCUCACUGGCUAAGGCAGAGCUCUCCCAUCCACUGCCCUGCCUGCCUUCCCCUCCUUUAAGUGAAAAGGGCGAUUGUAUGACCAUAAUAGCAGCUAAACAAACAGAAAUGCACCCAAUAUUUAUCCACCCAAUCCUUCAUCAUGAAAAGAUAAUUAUAGAUUUCUCUGAAAGGACUCUGGGAAUGUGUGCGCAAGAAUCACGUAAGCAAAAAUGAAGCAUGCAAUGAGGAACUUAACCCAGAUCUGCCUGUUUCCUACUGCCUGCUUUCCCUUUUGUGUGUGAACUGAGGUGGAAAUUCGUCUGUGUGAUGAGUUCCAGACACAUUGUCUGUAACAAUCUCCAAUCCAGAAAGUGAAAUAAGUAACCAGAAGCCAGCCAUUUACAGAAAAGCGUAUUUUUCCCUGUUUGCUGCAGGACUGCAGAAUAACUGUUGUUAAAUCAUUUAAUGACCUACAACACCCACUCCUUCAUAAAUUAUCUUUCUUCUUUUGCAGAUAUUAUGUGAGAGAUAUCUCCACCGUGUCUAGAUUUUUUAACCAAGGUAGAAGACACUUCCUUUUUUAAGCACAAAUAACAAGUUUUGGGAAUUUUUGUACAAAAGAAUUUACAAGUGUUUUCUAAGGACAGGACUACUAGCUACUCUUUACUAACUCAAAAGUGUCUAAAAAAUAAUUUCUUUCCAAUAUUACAGAAUAUAUUUAUUGCUCAGAGACUGAGCAGCUCUGAAGAAAAUUUAAUUCCCAGCACAAAAAGGUGGUGAAGUCCUGCUGUCAUGUUAACAGCUUUAUCACCAUGGAUGUUAUUUUCCUGCCCUGGGACCUCAGCAAAGGGGACUCCUGGGAUAAGUAAGGUCCAUCCUGACACAGAAACGAGGGGCCAGCUGCAGGAGAGGGGAGCUGCUCUUCCAGAGCUCGCUGCAGGAGAGAGGCCAAGGGGCUGGCUGGGAAGCAAUGAAGUGCCCUGAAAAAUCCAGCACUGCAGAGAGCCACCUCCAGCCAAACAGCAUCAGCAGGAGGUGGAAAACUACUACUCCUCAUUCACCCUCCUCCUUCCUUAGGAUGGAAGCAAGAAUACAGGAGACAAACAUGCUGAAUGCUGUUAGUAAGCACACCAAAGACCGAGGGGACGUAAAUGUUUCCAUGGGAACAUGCCCUGACACAGUCUGGACGGGCUGCACAGGAUGCUCCCAGAGACUGGCGGUGGCAGGGAAGUGUCAGGGCCACAGGGGAGGAAUGAGGAAAAGCAGAGGGACAUUUUGAGCAAUUUUGAAGGAGAAUUACCUACAACCUCUAUGGUACAUACUAAUUCACAGUGCUUGCUUGCUUCUUUCCUCAUGUGGUACAAAUAGAUAUCUGAAAGAUAUUUUCUGCCAGAUUCUCGUUGUAAGCUCUUUAGGGAUUGCUUUAUAGAUGUUCCAUUUUAAAACUAGAUCAAAAAGCAAAUAUAUAUGAUUAAAGAUCAGGCUGGGAGGUAUUAACAUCCAUCUUUUAUUACAUACAAAGUAAGUUAUCCAUAUGCUCUGUUUCAUUUGUUUUGGACUAGUGCACCAAAUGGAAUCUCUAAUAAAUCAUUCACUGCUUACCCAUUCCCUCACUGUCUUCUGUUUCCAUCCUGCUAUGUAAAUAUCCCUGACAUUAGAAAUGAGACUAAUAAAAAAGAGGAUUAAAUCUGCAA